UACGUAGGCAGCGAGCGUUGUUCGGAGUUACUGGGCGUAAAGAGUGCGUAGGCGGUUUUCUAAGUUUGGUGUGAAAUCUCCCGGCUUAACUGGGAGGGUGCGCCGAAAACUGGAAGGCUUGAGUAUGGGAGAGGUAAGCGGAAUUCCUGGUGUAGCGGUGAAAUGCGUAGAUAUCAGGAGGAACACCCGUGGCGAAGGCGGCUCUCUGGGACGGUACUGACGCUGAGACGCGAAAGCGUGGGGAGCGAACAGG
rnacentral:rRNA from 1 species